rnacentral:rRNA from 1 species
GAUGAACGCUGGCGGCGUGCCUAAUACAUGCAAGUCGAGCGAACAGAUGAGGAGCUUGCUCCACUGACGUUAGCGGCGGACGGGUGAGUAACACGUGGAUAACCUACCUAUAAGACUGGGAUAACUUCGGGAAACCGGAGCUAAUACCGGAUAAUAUAUUGAACCGCAUGGUUCAAUAGUGAAAGACGGUUUUGCUGUCACUUAUAGAUGGAUCCGCGCCGCAUUAGUUAGUUGGUAAGGUAACGGCUUACCAAGGCAACGAAGCGUAGCCGACCUGAGAGGGGGAUGGGCCACACGGGAACUGAGAAACGGCCCAGACUCCUACGGGAGGCAGCAGUGGGGAAUCUUCGGCAAUGGGCAAAAGCCUGACGGAGCAACGCCGCGUGAGUGAUGAAGGUCUUCGGAUCGUAAAACUCUGUUGUUAGGAAAGAAGAAGUGUGUAAGUAACUACGCACGUCGUGACGGUACCUAAUCAGAAAGCCACGGCUAACUACGUG